UCUUCGGGCUGCGCAAGUUAGGCGCAUGAACCUGGUCAGGACGGAAACGUAGCAGCCAUAAGUGCAUUCCUUCUGUCGUGGCCCGAUUUCAG
rnacentral:SRP_RNA from 1 species